AGCUUUGAACAGUGUCAGUAUCAUAGCCAAUGAGGUUUAUCUGAGGCAUGAUUAUUGCUAAUUGAAAAAAAAAAGCCAAUUAGAUCCUCAAAUUUACUCAAUUGAAUUGUGUUCUUUAACG
rnacentral:snRNA from 1 species